ACGAACGCUGGCGGCGUGCUUAACACAUGCAAGUCGAACGGAAAGGCCCUGCUUUUGUGGGGUGCUCGAGUGGCGAACGGGUGAGUAACACGUGAGUAACCUGCCCUUGACUUUGGGAUAACUUCAGGAAACUGGGGCUAAUACCGGAUAGGAGCUCCUGCUGCAUGGUGGGGGUUGGAAAGUUUCGGCGGUUGGGGAUGGACUCGCGGCUUAUCAGCUUGUUGGUGGGGUAGUGGCUUACCAAGGCUUUGACGGGUAGCCGGCCUGAGAGGAUGACCGGCCACAUUGGGACUGAGAUACGGCCCAGACUCCUACGGGAGGCAGCAGUGGGGAAUAUUGCACAAUGGGCGGAAGCCUGAUGCAGCAACGCCGCGUGCGGGAUGACGGCCUUCGGGUUGUAAACCGCUUUCGCCUGUGACGAAGCGUGAGUGACGGUAAUGGGUAAAGAAGCACCGGCUAACUACGUG
rnacentral:rRNA from 1 species